rnacentral:rRNA from 1 species
CCUACGGGUGGCAGCAGUGAGGAAUAUUGGUCAAUGGGCGCGAGCCUGAACCAGCCAAGUAGCGUGAAGGAUGACUGCCCUACGGGUUGUAAACUUCUUUUAUAAAGGAAUAAAGUGAGGCACGUGUGCCUUUUUGUAUGUACUUUAUGAAUAAGGAUCGGCUAACCCCGGGCCAGCCGCCGCGGUAAUACGGAGGAUCCGAGCGUUAUCCGGAUUUAUUGGGUUUAAAGGGAGCGUAGGUGGGUUGGUCAGUCAGUUGUGAAAGUUUGCGGCUUAACCUUAGAAUUGCAAGUGAUACUGGCAGUCUUGAGUACAGUAGAGGUAGGCGGAAUUCGUGGUGUAGCGGUGAAAUGCUUAGAUAUCACGAAGAACUCCGAUUGCGAAGGCAGCUUACUAAACUGCCACUGACGUUGAUGCACGAAAGUGUGGGUAUCAAACAGGAUUAGAUACCCUGGUAGUC